rnacentral:rRNA from 1 species
UACGUAGGGUGCAAGCGUUGUCCGGAAUUAUUGGGCGUAAAGAGCUCGUAGGCGGUCUGUCGCGUCGGCUGUGAAAACCCGGAGCUCAACUCCGGGCCUGCAGUCGAUACGGGCAAACUGGAGUGUUGCAGGGGAGACUGGAAUUCCUGGUGUAGCGGUGAAAUGCGCAGAUAUCAGGAGGAACACCGGUGGCGAAGGCGGGUCUCUGGGCCUUACCUGACGCUGAGGAGCGAAAGCGUGGGGAGCAAACAGG